AUAAGGAACCGGCCUGAGCCUGCUCCCCCUGUAGCCGGUGCAAGAACUCCAGUGAGGCGUCACCAGAGUUUCCUGUCUGUCCGCUUCCAUUGAUCGGGGAAGGCCAAGAACCCGGCCAGCUGAUGGCACCCAACCUGGGGCAGACCCCUUCCGGAGCGAGGACCUGGGCACGUCCGAGACUACGGAGUGCCACUUUACCGUGGCUGAGGAAUGCCUACCUGAACCUCGUGUUCCACCAUCACCGCAUGCUGACCUCUAUGCUGCUCUACGGGUUAAGAAAGCGUCUUGCAAUGCGCAGGACCAGAGUUCGACUCCUGGUGAAGGAGCUAAGACUGGACACGCCACGCCAAGACUAAGCCUGCGCUGCAACUACUGAGCCCAAGGACAACUAGAGAGUCCGCAACAAAGGAUCCCACACCAUGCGGUGACGAUCCCCUGUACUGCCAGUAAAACCUGCUGCAGCCAAAUAUACAAAUAAAUAUUUUAAAAAGCAAAAAAAA